rnacentral:rRNA from 1 species
CCUACGGGUGGCAGCAGUAGGGAAUCUUCCACAAUGGGCGCAAGCCUGAUGGAGCAACACCGCGUGAGUGAAGAAGGGUUUCGGCUCGUAAAGCUCUGUUGUUGGAGAAGAACGUGCGUGAGAGUAACUGUUCACGCAGUGACGGUAUCCAACCAGAAAGUCACGGCUAACUACGUGCCAGCAGCCGCGGUAAUACGUAGGUGGCAAGCGUUAUCCGGAUUUGUUGGGCGUAAAGCGAGCGCAGGCGGUUGCUUAGGUCUGAUGUGAAAGCCUUCGGCUUAACCGAAGAAGUGCAUCGGAAACCGGGCAACUUGAGUGCAGGAGAGGACAGUGGAACUCCAUGUGUAGCGGUGGAAUGCGUAGAUAUAUGGAAGAACACCAGUGGCGAAGGCGGCUGUCUGGUCUGCAACUGACGCUGAGGCUCGAAAGCAUGGGUAGCGAACAGGAUUAGAUACCCGGGUAGUC